UAGUGAGUUUGAUCCUGGCUCAGGAUGAACGCUGGCGGUCUGCUUAACACAUGCAAGUCGAACGCAAGUAGAAAUACUUGAGUGGCGGACGGGUGAGUAACGCGUGAGAAUCUGCCUUCUGGUCGGGGACAACCACUGGAAACGGUGGCUAAUACCGGAUAUGCCUAUGGGUGAAAGAUUAAUUGCCAGAAGAAGAGCUCGCGUCUGAUUAGCUAGUUGGUAGGGUAAAGGCCUACCAAGGCGACGACGGAUAGCCGGCCUGAGAGGGGUGGCCGGCCACAGGGGCACUGAGACACGGGGCCCCACUCCUACGGGGAGGCAGCAGUUAGGAACUCUUCCACAAUGGGGCGAAAGCCUGAUGGAGCGACGCCGCGUGAGGGGAUGAAGUUUUCGGAUCGUAAACCUCUGAAUCAGGG
rnacentral:rRNA from 1 species